GGUAGGGUAUCCAAGUGGUUAAAGGGAGUAGAUUGUAAAUCUAACGAGUUUUCUCUUCGGGGGUUCAAAUCCCUCCCCUACCA
rnacentral:tRNA from 1 species